AUAUAUACUGUGAAACUGCGAAUGGCUCAUUAAAUCAGUUAUCGUUUAUUUGAUAGUACCUUACUACUUGGAUAACCGUGGUAAUUCUAGAGCUAAUACAUGCUAAAAACCUCGACUUCGGAAGGGGUGUAUUUAUUAGAUAAAAAACCAAUGCCCUUCGGGGCUCCUUGGUGAUUCAUAAUAACUUAACGAAUCGCAUGGCCUUGUGCCGGCGAUGGUUCAUUCAAAUUUCUGCCCUAUCAACUUUCGAUGGUAGGAUAGUGGCCUACCAUGGUUUCAACGGGUAACGGGGAAUUAGGGUUCUAUUCCGGAGAGGGAGCCUGAGAAACGGCUGCCACAUCCAAGGAAGGCAGCAGGCGCGCAAAUUACCCAAUCCCGACACGGGGAGGUAGUGACAAUAAAUACUGAUMCAGGGCUYYUUUGGGUCUUGUAAUUGGAAUGAGUMCAAUUUAAAUCCCUUAAACGAGGAACAAUUGGAGGGCAAGUCUGGUGCCAGCAGCCGCGGUAAUUCCAGCUCCAAUAGCGUAUAUUAAAGUUGUUGCAGUUAAAAAGCUCGUAGUUGAACCUUGAGCCUGGCUGGCUGGUCCGCCUCACCGCGUGUACUGGUCCGGCCGGGUUUUUCCUUCUGGGGAGCCGCAUGCCCUUCACUGGGUGUGUCGGGGAACCAGGACUUUUACUUUGAAAAAAUUAGAGUGUUCAAAGCAGGCCUAUGCUCGAAUACAUUAGCAUGGAAUAAUAGAAUAGGACGUGUGGUUCUAUUUUGUUGGUUUCUAGGACCGCCGUAAUGAUUAAUAGGGAUAGUCGGGGGCAUCAGUAUUCAAUUGUCAGAGGUGAAAUUCUUGGAUUUAUUGAAGACUAACUACUGCGAAAGCAUUUGCCAAGGAUGUUUUCAUUAAUCAGUGAACGAAAGUUAGGGGAUCGAAGACGAUUGAAWUARCACUCGGUUCGGG
rnacentral:rRNA from 1 species